GGAGGGUGCACCUCUCUCAGGGACAAGUAACUAAACAUUCAGAACUCUGGCUUUGUGAGGGUGAUCCGUUUGGACAAACUAUUCUGUAAAAUUACUGAAAGGUAAGUUUUUGUUGGCAGAUCAGUAAAAUUGAACACACAACAGCAAAAUAGUAUUUUUGGUAAAUACUUAAAACAAGACCACACAAA